rnacentral:rRNA from 1 species
CAAUAGCGUAUAUUAAAGCUGUUGCGGUUAAAAAGCUCGUAGUUGGAUUUCUGUCAAGUACAACUGGUCCGCCCUCCGGGUGAGCACAUAGUUUGGUCUUGGCAUCUUGCUGGAAAUUGUUGCUGCACUUGGCUGUGUGGCGCAGUGUCCAGCACUUUCACUUUGAGGAAAUUGGAGUGUUUCAAGCAGGCACAUGCCUUUGGACACAGUAGCAUGGAAUAAUUAGAUUGGGCUUUUGCUCCAAUUUGUCGGUUUCUGGAGCUGAGGUGAGAAUUAAUGGGGAUUGUUGGGGGCAUCCGAAUUUAGCCGUCAGAGGUGAAAUUCUUGGAUCUGCUAAAGACGGACAACUGCGAAAGCGUUUGCCCAGGAUGUUUUCAUUGA